rnacentral:tRNA from 1 species
GCCGGAGUGGGGAAGUGGCCGUUCCCGCGUGGUUCAUACCCACGAGAUCGCAGAGUUCGAAUCCUGCCUCCGACU